ensembl:lncRNA
UCUGCAAGUGUCUCAAGGCCAAAGACAGGCUGGUGGGAAAGCUCCAACCAGCAAGGCCAUAUGCUCCCCCUCCCCUACCUAAAACCCCAAAUAAAAACCCUUCCUUUUAGGUUUUUGGGGAGUUUGGGAUUUGAGCAUUAGCUACCCUCUCUCCUUGCUCAGCGCUGUGCAAAAAUAAAAUUCCUACUUUCUUCCACCACACCCAGAGUCAUAGAUUGGCUUGCUGUGCAACGAGUGAGCGAACUCACUUCAGUUUUGGUAACAAUUUGGUGACCCAGAUGGGACAAUGUCCCAGGUGGACGUCUCGCCUGGGGCACACCGGCCUCUGGCUAAAGGCCUCUCUUGGAAGCUGUCCUGCAGCUGCCUGAGCCCCUUGUCUCAGGGACAGCCCCAAGCGACUGGCUGCUAACCAGACGAUGUUGGCCCACGAUGCUUUUGCUUUGGUGGUGGAAGAAACUAGGUUUAGGACUCAGGAAGACGUCUCUUGUAAGUAGCUGGUAGUUUUUGUUUUUGUCUUUGUGUUAACCUUUUCCAACAGAACCUGCCGGAAAUAAUGGGUACCUUGGCAGCCCUCUGGGCUCCAUUUGUUUUGAAGUCGCCCAACGCCCCGGCCAAAUUUUGGACACAAUUGGAAACACUGGUUAUAUUACCAAGGCUUUGACUGGAACAUCAUAUUUGAAAAAACAUAUGGGCUUAAAUAUAACAAGACAGCUUUUGAAGAAUGAAGGUUGACAUUCUGGAAUAAAGCCACUUGGAAAUAUUGGCCUGGUACUGUGCUUAUGGGUUCUGUAACCUGGUAAGGUUGAGUAAAGAAUGUCGCUCCUUUUGGCAGGUACAAGGAACCUCAAUAUUUCGGGGAACCUCAUGAAGAGAGGGAUUCACCCAAAUCUGCAGGUACUGCAGGCAGAAUGUGAUAACAGGUCCUUUGCUUGGCUUUCCUUGAGAGGCCUUUAAAGAUCAACCUGAGAUUUCUUAUAAGGUUCCAGCAAAGCAGAUUAAAAAGAGCCUAUAUGAUCAACUACUAUUCUUGCUGUACUUAUGUAAAUAAUUAUUCCAAAUUUAUUAAAACUAGACAUUGUGCAAACCAGUUAGUCUUAAUUUUGCUAUGUCUAGUGAAAUUGAGGGUGAUUUUAGGGAGGAAGAUUAUGUUUCAAUAGAAACUAUAAUUCAUGUUUAUAGAUAUUAGAUUUUAGUUUUUUCAAUUGUCCUUUUGAAAUUUUUGUUUUACUUCUGUUAACUAGACUGGAUCUUAAAUUCUUCAUCUCCUGAACUACCUGGCCAAAAACCUCCAAGCUAACAUUUUCAGGGUCUUUUUUUCCCCAUUAUUUUCAUUUAGAGUCAUUGAAAACUAAAUCUGCCCUUUUUCCUAAAGCCUUACAAACUGAAGCUGGAAGACCCAAUAUAAACUUAAGAGAGAUUCACGUCUACUGCUGUGUAAGCCACUCAAAAAGCCACCUGAUUGCUGCAUGACACCAUCAGAGACAUUUCAAACUGCAAAAGAUGCUUUGACUCUGACUUCUAGGAAUCUUGAUUGGCUGCCCCCUGGGCUCAGAAACUUGUUUAUAAUUUGCUCCAAUCAUUAACCUUGUUUUUCUCUUUAAGUUUCUCUAGAAAAUCUUCUUAUUAAAUACCUUGUUACUUACUUACAUGAUACAGGCCUACCUUCAGGAGCCCACCAGCAUCACUGCCUUAUUAAAAGACUGGUUCAAUGAGAUAAAACAACCUACGCCCCAUUUCAGCAGGAAGUAGCUAGAUGGGUCGCCACCCCAAAUCCCUAAAGAUUGACGGAUGGACAUAAAAUAGGGGGGAGUUGAUACCGACCCUGAUAUCAGUUUCCCCACAUUAAACCCAGCAUAUAUGGGGUUAAAACCAAAACACUCAUUCCCUGCUUACUCUCUGGCUUCCUGGCUCCAGAAUCCACUAUCCUCCAUGGAGAGAGACACCAUCAAGGACAAGCACCUGGACUAUCUCCUCCCGCAAAGAGAUACGGGCUGGUGGGAAAGCUGCUGACCAGCAGGGUCAUGAGCUGCCUCCUCUCUGCAAGUGUCUCAAGGCCAAAGACAGGCUGGUGGGAAAGCUCCGACCAGCAAGGCCAUAUGCUCCCCCUCCCCUACCUAAAACCCCAAAUAAGAACCCUUCCUUUCAGCUUUUCGGGGAGUUUGAGAUUUGAGCAUUAGCUGCCCUCUCUCCUUGCUCAGUGCUGUGCAAAAAUAAAAUUCCUACUUUCUUC